CAGAUCCCCCCGGGACCCCCGAGCCCCCGGAGCGGAACCGGAGCGCCGAGGGAAACGCCUCGGCAGGUGACCUCGGCCGGGCGGGCGGGCCCGAGGGGGCGGGGCCGUUGAUGACGUCAUUGGGGAUCCUGCUGCCCAUUGGGCUGGCGCUGUGCCUGGGGCUCGCGGGGCGGGCGCUGUGGCAGGGGU